GAUGAACGCUGGCGGCGUGCCUAAUACAUGCAAGUCGAACGCAUUGUGGUUGAAAUGAUAUGAAGAACUUGUUCAGAUUUGAUUUUCAACAUUGCAAUGAGUGGCGAACGGGUGAGUAACACGUGGGAAACCUACCUCUUAGCAGGGGAUAACAUUUGGAAACAAAUGCUAAUACCGUAUAAUAAUUAAAACCGCAUGGUUUUAGUUUAAAAGAUGGUCUUGCUAUCACUAAGAGAUGGUCCCGCGGUGUAUUAGUUAGUUGGUGAGGUAAUGGCUCACCAAGACAAUGAUACAUAGCCGAGUUGAGAGACUGACCGGCCACAAUGGGACUGAGACACGGCCCAUACUCCUACGGGAGGCAGCAGUAGGGAUCUUCCACAAUGGACGAAAGUACUGAUGGAGCAACGCCGCGUGUGUGAUGAAGGUUUCGGCUCGUAAACACUGUUGUAAGAGAAGAAUGACAUUGAGAGUAACUGUUCAAUGU
rnacentral:rRNA from 1 species